rnacentral:sRNA from 1 species
GCGAUGCGGGCAAUGAGCUGGAUGGCCUCCUUCAUGUAGAACCGGCCGUCCCCGCCCACCACCAGCGUGGCCUCCUGCCGCUGCGCCGGCUCCACGGUGGAGAUGAUACUCUGGAUGAAGUUCUCCGCGUAGUUGGCGCUGCUCUGGAACACCUUCACCCGCUUCCGCAGCCCGCUCGUGCCCGGCUUCUGGUCCGGUUUUAUUUUGGAUGUUGACAAAAGCCCUGAUUACCAUGCUGCCCUAGCAACAACAGUGUAAAAGGGUUCCCAUUUCUCCACAUCCUUGCCAGCAUUUGAAGUCCACAUGAAAGAAAAUUAUAUUUCUGUUCAGUUUUGAGAAAAAAGUGUUAAAAGAUCACUGAAAUUGGAUGGUCUGUUAGAAGAAAAUUCAUUUGAUCCUUCAGAAAUCACAAGGAAGAAAAGUGUUAUAACUUAUUCUCCAACAACUGGAACUUGUCAAAUGAGUCUAUUUGCUUCUCCCACAAGCUCUGAAGAGCAAAAGCA